CCUACGGGUGGCAGCAGUGGGGAAUAUUGGGCAAUGGGCGAAAGCCUGACCCAGCAACGCCGCGUGAAGGAAGAAGGCUUUCGGGUUGUAAACUUCUUUUGACAGGGAAGAGCAGAAGACGGUACCUGUCGUAUAAGCCAGGGCUAACUACGUGCCAGCAGCCGCGGUAAUACGUAGGUGGCAAGCGUUGUCCGGAUUUACUGGGUGUAAAGGGCGGGUAGCCGGGCUGGCAAGUCAGAUGUGAAAUCCUGGGGCUCAACCCCCGAACUGCAUUUGAAACUGUUGGUCUUGAGUAUCGGAGAGGCAGGCGGAAUUCCUGGUGUAGCGGUGAAAUGCGUAGAUAUUAGGAAGAACACCAGUGGCGAAGGCGGCCUACUGGACGACAACUGACGGUGAGGCACGAAAGCGUGGGGAGCAAACAGGAUUAGAUACCCGUGUAGUC
rnacentral:rRNA from 1 species